CCUCCAGAACAAGCCCAAGGUCUCCAUGUCUCUGAGCAUUUGGCGUCCCCAGGGGAGGGCCUGUGGCUGCAGAAGACCGGCGUGACCAGGACCCCUUGGCCUAGAUUGCUGA